AUGACUGGUCAAUGAUACAAUUGGAGCCCCUAUUGUAACCUUAUAAAGAGCAAUAAUUUCUCAUUCCUAAGCAAUGUGGGAUCUCAUACACCAUCUACCCUUAUUCUUAUCAUAUGGGGUAUCACAUUGUCAUUCAUGUAUCUUCUUACUAACUUUCAUAAUGCAUGUGAGCAUGUUGACUUCAUGAAUUUACAUGGCGUGACAUACUCUUGUGCAUGACAUAACAUUAAACAUGGCCUAUUAACAUGAGCCUUACACAACAUAGCAUAGCAUAUACAUGGCAUAAUAUAAUCUAAACAUUACAUGAACAUUUCAUGGCAUACGUGUGAUUUUCAUGACAUAUCAUAAGUUCUAACAAAAAUCUAUAUCAGCAUAGCAUACAUAGUCUCAUUCACGAGCAUAUCAUCGUAAUUCAUCGAGGUUCAUGAAAAGGGGCUAACCUUGAAUUGGGUCGUAUCGUAGCAUAGGUGAACAUCACAUUUUUCAUGCAAAGACAGAAUAUUUACAGCACACAAAAAAUUAUGAUCAUGCUACUUACCUCUUUAGCGCUGCUUCUUGGAUCCUACUUCGUAACUCUUUACCGAGAGAGGAGAUUGAUCGUGCAACGGUGGAUCUGUGUGACAGAGAGUGGCCGGCGGCACAAGCUUUGGAAUGGGGCGAGGUGGCAGGGGGUGCCUGGUUGGCGGGUUCUAGGCAGCCUGGGUAGUGCUCCAACGUUCCCGUUGGCGUCCUCUGGGUGAUUUCGGCGAGGUGGCUGACUUGGAUAUGGUGGGUUUGGUGAAGAGGAAAAGAGAGGAUUUAUGGGAGGGUUUUUGAGGUGAGUGUUGGUUACCGAUUAGGAAACUAUUCAAACUAGGAAGUCAAACAGAGGGAUAAAUGGGUGUACUGAGUGGAAGAAUCCUACGCAAAUAAAAUUACUAUCUCAAUACUAAUAUGAUAAAAUACUACUA